GUCUAUAGCCAUGCUACCCUGAAAGCGUCUGCUCUCCUCUGAUCUCGGAACUAGGCAGGGUCGGGCCUGGUUAGUGCUUGACU
rnacentral:rRNA from 1 species